GACGAACGCUGGCGGCGUGCCUAAUACAUGCCAGUAGAACGCUGAAGGAGGAGCUUGCUUCUCUGGAUGAGUUGCGAACGGGUGAGUAACGCGUAGGUAACCUGCCUGGUAGCGGGGGAUAACUAUUGGAAACGAUAGCUAAUACCGCAUAAGAGUAGAUGUUGCAUGACAUUUGCUUAAAAGGUGCAAUUGCAUCACUACCAGAUGGACCUGCGUUGUAUUAGCUAGUUGGUGGGGUAACGGCUUACCAAGGCGACGAUACGUAGCCGACCUGAGAGGGUGAUCGGCCACACUGGGACUGAGACACGGCCCAGACUCCUACGGGAGGCAGCAGUAGGGAAUCUUCGGCAAUGGACGGAAGUCUGACCGAGCAACGCCGCGUGAGUGAAGAAGGUUUUCGGAUCGUAAAGCUCUGUUGUAAGAGAAGAACGAGUGUGAGAGUGGAAAGUUCACACUGUGACGGUAUCUUACCAGAAAGGGACGGCUAACUACGUG
rnacentral:rRNA from 1 species